UACGUAGGGUGCGAGCGUUAAUCGGAAUUACUGGGCGUAAAGCGUGCGCAGGCGGUUAGCAAAGUCAGCUGUGAAAGCCCCGGGCUUAACCUGGGAAUGGCGGUUGAAACUAGUCGACUCGAAUCUGGCAGAGGGGGGUGGAAUUCCACGUGUAGCAGUGAAAUGCGUAGAGAUGUGGAGGAACACCGAUGGCGAAGGCAGCCCCCUGGGCUGAGAUUGACGCUCAGGCACGAAAGCGUGGGGAGCAAACAGG
rnacentral:rRNA from 1 species